UACGGAGGGUGCAAACGUUGCUCGGAAUCAUUGGGCGUAAAGCGCACGUAGGCGGCCUGUUAAGUCGGGUGUGAAAUCCCUGGGCUCAACCCAGGAAGUGCAUUCGAAACUGGCAGGCUUGAAUAUGGAAGAGGGUCGCGGAAGUUCCUGGUGUAGCGGUGAAAUGCGUAGAUAUCAGGAGGAACACCGGUGGCGAAGGCGGCUAUCUGGACAGAGUCUGACGCUGAGGCGCGAAAGCUAGGGGAGCAAACAGG
rnacentral:rRNA from 1 species